CCAAGGCGACAUGGACCCUUGUGGCCCCUGCGAUUAGCAGGCCUAGUUCCAGUGGAGUUGCUUCGCAGUCGUAUACGCUGAAGAUUUGAUACGAGUCCUACUGAAAGAUAAUAUAGGAAAGCAAAGUGUGGCAUGGCCUCAAGGCUCUGAGUGCUGUUUAAAACUAGAGGACUAGUGCCCCUCUCAGGCUGUGAUGAACCGGAGGAUGCUCUUGGUCUUGGACUAGGGCUGAAUAACUCCGCUCAGAAGACGACAGGCUCAAGUUGGAAGGUGAAGCCAGAUGCUCUGAGCUACUGUAAACCUGAUUUACAUAAUAAAAACAAGUCAAAUCACCCAGAUCCUAUGCAUUAAUGAUUACCCCGCAAAACAAUCGAAC